CGGGGAAUAGCGCAGCCUGGUUAGCGCGCCUGUCUCGGGUGCAGGAGGUCGGAGGUUCAAAUCCUCUUUCCCCGA
rnacentral:tRNA from 1 species